AGUCGAACGCGAAAGCUCCCUUCGGGGGGCAAGUAGAGUGGCGCACGGGUGAGUAACACGUAGGUAAUCUACCUUUGGAUUGGGAAUAACAACCGGAAACGGUUGCUAAUACCGAAUAAUGCAGCGGCACCUAAUGGUGACAGUUGUUAAAGCGGGGGAUCGCAAGACCUCGCGUCUGAAGAGGAGCCUGCGGCGGAUUAGCUAGUUGGUAAGGUAACGGCUUACCAAGGCGAUGAUCCGUAGCCGGCCUGAGAGGGCGGUCGGCCACACUGACACUGACAUACGGGUCAGACUCCUACGGGAGGCAGCAGUCGGGAAUUUUGGGCAAUGGGCGAAAGCCUGACCCAGCAACGCCGCGUGAAGGAUGAAAUCCCUCGGGAUGUAAACUUCGCAAGAACGGGAAGAAUAAGUGAGAGUUAAUAUCUCUCACGAUGACGGUACUGUUUGUAAGCUCCGGCUAACUCCGUGCCAGCAGCCGCGGUAAUACGGGGGGAGCAAGCGUUGUUCGGAUUUACUGGGCGUAAAGGGCGCGUAGGCGGCCACCGCAAGUCGACUGUGAAAUCUCCGGGCUUAACCCGGAAAGGUCAGCCGAUACUGCGGGGCUAGAGUGCAGAAGGGGCAACUGGAAUUCUCGGUGUAGCGGUGAAAUGCGUAGAUAUCGAGAGGAACACCUGCGGCGAAGGCGGGUUGCUGGGCUGACACUGACGCUGAUGCGCGAAAGCUAGGGGAGCGAACGGGAUUAGAUACCCCGGUAGUCCUAGCCUUAAACGAUGAAUGCUUGGUGUCU
rnacentral:rRNA from 1 species